rnacentral:misc_RNA from 1 species
AGCAGCCGCGGUAAUUCCAGCUCCAAUAGCGUAUAUUAAAGUUGUUGCAGUUAAAAAGCUCGUAGUUGAAUUUCGGGAUCAAGGAAUCGGUCAUGCCUCGGUAUGUACUGGUUUUAUUGGUUCUCACCUUCUAAAAGAACCAUGAUGUCAUUCAUUUGAUGUUAUGGGGAAUCAGGACUGUUACUUUGAAAAAUUAGAGUGUUUAAAGCAGGCUCGCGCUUGAAUACAUUAGCAUGGAAUAAUGAAAUAGGACGUUUGAUUCUAUUUUGUUGGUUUCUAGGAUCGACGUAAUGAUUAAUAGGGAUAGUUGGGGGCAUUAGUAUUCAAUUGUCAGAGGUGAAAUUCUUGGAUUUAUUGAAGACUAACUACUGCGAAAGCAUUUGCCAAGGAUGUUUUCAUUAAUCAAGAACGAAAGUUAGGGGAUCGAAGACGAUCAGAUACCGUCGUAGUCUUAACCAUAAACUAUGCCGACUAGGGAUCGGAUGAUGUUUAAUUUUAAUGUA